AACGAACGCUGGCGGCAGGCCUAACUCAUGCAAGUCGAGCGAGGACUUCGGUUCUAGCGGCGGACGGGUGAGUAACGCGUGGGAAUGUGCCCUUCUCUACGGAAUAGCCCUGGGAAACUGGGAGUAAUACCGUAUACGCCCUAUUGGGGAAAGAUUUAUCGGAGAAGGAUCAGCCCGCGUUGGAUUAGGUAGUUGGUGGGGUAAUGGCCUACCAAGCCGACGAUCCAUAGCUGGUUUGAGAGGAUGAUCAGCCACACUGGGACUGAGACACGGCCCAGACUCCUACGGGAGGCAGCAGUGGGGAAUCUUAGACAAUGGGGGCAACCCUGAUCGAGCCAUGCCGCGUGAGUGAUGAAGGCCUUAGGGUUGUAAAGCUCUUUCAGCUGGGAAGAUAAUGACGGUACCAGCAGAAGAAGCCCCGGCUAACUCCGUG
rnacentral:rRNA from 1 species